rnacentral:rRNA from 1 species
GACGAACGCUGGCGGCGUGCUUAACACAUGCAAGUCGAACGGUAAGGCCCUUCGGGGUACACGAGUGGCGAACGGGUGAGUAACACGUGGGUGAUCUGCCCUGCACUUCGGGAUAAGCCUGGGAAACUGGGUCUAAUACCGGAUAGGACCAUGGACUUCACGGUUUGUGGUGGAAAGCUUUUGCGGUGUGGGAUGGGCCCGCGGCCUAUCAGCUUGUUGGUGGGGUAAUGGCCUACCAAGGCGACGACGGGUAGCCGGCCUGAGAGGGUGUCCGGCCACACUGGGACUGAGAUACGGCCCAGACUCCUACGGGAGGCAGCAGUGGGGAAUAUUGCACAAUGGGCGCAAGUCUGAUGCAGCGACGCCGCGUGAGGGAUGACGGCCUCGGGUUGUAACCUCUUUCAAUAGGGACGAAGCGCAAGUGACGGUACCUAUAGAAGAAGCACCGGCCAACUACGUGCCAGCAGCCGCGGUAAU